AGUUUGAUCAUGGCUCAGAUUGAACGCUGGCGGAUGCUUUACACAUGCAAGUCGAACGGCACGGACUUCGGUCUGGUGGCGAGUGGCGAACGGGUGAGAAUACGACGGAACGUGCCUAGUAGCGGGGAUAACUACGCGAAAGGUAGCUUAAUACCGCAUAGCCGCCUCCUUCGGGGGAAGCGGGGGACCUUCGGGCCUCGCACUAGUUACGGCCGGAUAUCGAUUAGCUAGUUGGUGGGUAACGGCUCACCAAGGCGACGAUCCGUAGCUGGUUUGAGAGGACGUGACCAGCCACACUGGGACUGAGACACGGCCCAGACUCCUACGGGAGGCAGCAGGGAAUUUUGACAAUGGGAAACCCUGAUCCAGCCAUCCCGGGCGUGUGCGAUGAAGGCCUUCGGGUUGUAAAGCACUUUUGGCAGGAAGAAACGGCACGGAUAACACCCGCAACUGACGGUACCUGCAGAAUAAGCACCGGCUAACUACGCGUCAGCAGCCGUAAUACGUAGGGUGCAAGCAAGCAUCGGAAUUACUGGGCGUAGCGUGCGCGCAGGCGGUUCGGAAAGAUGUGAACCGCAGAGCGAACUUUGGAACUGCAUUUUUAACUACCGAGAGCUAGAGGAAGUCAGAGGGAGGUGGAAUUCCGCGUGUAAAGCAGUGAAAUGCGUAGAUAUGCGGGGAACACCGAUGAGCAUACAGCCUCCUGGGAUAACACCGACGCUCAUGCACGAAAGCGUGGGGAGCAAACAGAUUAGGAUACCCUGGUAGUCCACGCCCUAAACGAUGUCAACUAGCUGUUGGGGCCUUCGGGCUCGGUAGCAGGCAGCUAAUGCGUGAAGUUGACCGCCUGGGGAGUACGGUCGCAAGAUUAAAAACUCAAAGGAAUUGACGGGGACCCGCACAAGCGGUGGAUGAUGUGAUUAAUUCGAUGCAACGCGAAAACCUUACCUACCUUUGACAUGUCUGGAAAUCCCGAAGAGAUUUUGGGAGUGCUCGUAAGAGAACUGAACACAGGUGCUGCAUGGUUGUCGUCAGCUCGUGUCGUGAGAUGUUGGGUUAAGUCUCGCAACGAGCGCAACCCUUGUCAUUAGUUGCUACGAAAGGGCACUCUAAUGAGACUGCCGGUGACAAACCGGAGGAAGGUGGGGAGACGUCAAGUCCUCAUGGCCCUUAUGGGUAGGGCUCUUUACACGUCAUACAAUGGUCGGGACAGAGGGUCGCCAACCCGCGAGGGGGAGCCAAUCCCAGAAACCCGAUCAGUCCGAUCGCAGUCUGCAACUCGACUGCGUGAAGUCGGAAUCGCUAGUAAUCGCGGAUCAGCAUGUCGCGGUGAAUACGUUCCGGUCUUGUACACACCGCCCGUCACACCAUGGGAGUGGGUUUUAUCAGAAGUAGUUAGCCUAACCGUAAGGGAGGGCGAUUACCACGGUAGGAUUCAUGACUGGGUGAAGUCGUACAAGGUAA
rnacentral:rRNA from 1 species